rnacentral:rRNA from 1 species
AGAGUUUGAUCCUGGCUCAGGACGAACGCUGGCGGCGCGCCUAACACAUGCAAGUCGAACGAGAGAGAGGGAGCUUGCUUCCUCAAUCGAGUGGCGAACGGGUGAGUAACGCGUGAGGAACCUGCCUCAAAGAGGGGGACAACAGUUGGAAACGACUGCUAAUACCGCAUAAGCCCACGGCUCGGCAUCGAGCAGAGGGAAAAGGAGCAAUCCGCUUUGAGAUGGCCUCGCGUCCGAUUAGCUAGUUGGUGAGGUAAUGGCCCACCAAGGCGACGAUCGGUAGCCGGACUGAGAGGUUGAACGGCCACAUUGGGACUGAGACACGGCCCAGACUCCUACGGGAGGCAGCAGUGGGGAAUAUUGCACAAUGGGGGAAACCCUGAUGCAGCGACGCCGCGUGGAGGAAGAAGGUCUUCGGAUUGUAAACUCCUGUUGUUGAGGAAGAUAAUGACGGUACUCAACAAGGAAGUGACGGCUAACUACGUGCCAGCAGCCGCGGUAAAACGUAGGUCACAAGCGUUGUCCGGAAUUACUGGGUGUAAAGGGAGCGCAGGCGGGCGAUCAAGUUGGAAGUGAAAUCCAUGGGCUCAACCCAUGAACUGCUUUCAAAACUGAUUGUCUUGAGUAGUGCAGAGGUAGGCGGAAUUCCCGGUGUAGCGGUGGAAUGCGUAGAUAUCGGGAGGAACACCAGUGGCGAAGGCGGCCUACUGGGCACCAACUGACGCUGAGGCUUGAAAGUGUGGGUAGCAAACAGGAUUAGAUACCCUGGUAGUCCACACCGUAAACGAUGAUUACUAGGUGUUGGAGGAUUGACCCCUUCAGUGCCGCAGUUAACACAAUAAGUAAUCCACCUGGGGAGUACGACCGCAAGGUUGAAACUCAGAGGAAUUGACGGGGACCCGCACAAGCGGUGGAGCAUGUGGUUUAAUUCGAAGCAACGCGAAGAACCUUACCUGGUCUUGACAUCCCGAUGACCGCUCUGUAAUGAGAGCUUUUCUUCGGAACAUUGGAGACAGGUGGUGCAUGGUUGUCGUCAGCUCGUGUCGUGAGAUGUUGGGUUAAGUCCCGCAACGAGCGCAACCCCUAUCUUCAGUAGCCAGCAUUUAAGGUGGGCACUCUGGAGAGACUGCCCGGGAUAACCGGGAGGAAGGCGGGGAUGACGUCAAAUCAUCAUGCCCCUUAUGACCAGGGCUACACACGUGCUACAAUGGCGUAACAAAGGGAAGCGAACCCGUGAGGGGGAGCAAAUCCCAAAAAUAACGUCCCAGUUCGGACUGUAGUCUGCAACCCGACUACACGAAGCUGGAAUCGCUAGUAAUCGCGAAUCAGAAUGUCGCGGUGAAUACGUUCCCGGGUCUUGUACACACCGCCCGUCACACCAUGGGAGUCGGAAAUGCCCGAAGUCAGUGACCUAACCGCAAGGAAGGAGCUGCCGAAGGUGGAGCCGGUAACUGGGGUGAAGUCGUAACAAGGUA